rnacentral:rRNA from 1 species
AUUGAACGCUGGCGGCAGGCCUAACACAUGCAAGUCGAGCGGAUGACGGGAGCUUGCUCCUUGAUUCAGCGGCGGACGGGUGAGUAAUGCCUAGGAAUCUGCCUGGUAGUGGGGGACAACGUUUCGAAAGGAACGCUAAUACCGCAUACGUCCUACGGGAGAAAGCAGGGGACCUUCGGGCCUUGCGCUAUCGGAUGAGCCUAGGUCGGAUUAGCUAGUAGGUGAGGUAAUGGCUCACCUAGGCGACGAUCCGUAACUGGUCUGAGAGGAUGAUCAGUCACACUGGAACUGAGACACGGUCCAGACUCCUACGGGAGGCAGCAGUGGGGAAUAUUGGACAAUGGGCGAAAGCCUGAUCCAGCCAUGCCGCGUGUGUGAAGAAGGUCUUCGGAUUGUAAAGCACUUUAAGUUGGGAGGAAGGGCAGUAAGUUAAUACCUUGCUGUUUUGACGUUACCGACAGAAUAAGCACCGGCUAACUCUGUGCCAGCCGCCGCAGUAA